AUGGCCGAGGCGGCGGCCGUGUUGGCAAUGGGCGGUGAGGAGGAGCUCCGGCAAUGGAUUGAGAGGUCGGGGAGGACUGAUGGAGUGAGAGAGGCCGAAUGGCGAGGAGUGACGCAGUUAGGGACAAUUUAUAUAGGAGAGGGGGAGGAAGAUGCUGAGCUAGGGUGCCGCCAUGGCGCACGGGACGCCUCCGACGAUGGACGGAUGCAUCAUGGAUUACUAGAAGGGACGGGAGAGGGAAAAGGAGGUCACGGGGCAGAAAAUGGCGCUAAUGGGGAGGAGGAAGACGACAGGCAAGCACACAGGGGCGGUCGGGCAUAG
rnacentral:rRNA from 1 species